GGAUCAGAUUUGGGCUCCACAUCCUCUGCCAGGGAAAAUAGAAGCCCUCAGAACAUUAGAAAGAAAUAGAAAGAGGCUUCUCCUCAGUCACAAUGCGACAGCUUCCUGCAUGAAAAGAAGAACCCAGGGUGGACCUGGAGCAGGAAGGAGAGGGACUUUCCUGCUUCCUUCUGCCCAUCCUAGAAGCCACACUUAAAACUAUGACCUUGAAUAACUCCGUUUUCUCAGGCUAUCAGACAGCUUGUAUCUCGAGGCAACUCUGGCUGGAGCCUUGGGAGGCAUGAGGGUCUCCACGGAGCUUUCAGCAAGGUCCAGUCCUGAGCGUGGCCCAGAGACCCAGCAAUCAUGGAGGUAUCCUUCCUCUGAAGAUGUUCAGGCCAGAGGGAACAGGAUAUUAAAACCCUCCUGGUGGGCUUCCCUGGUGGCGCAGUGGUUAAGAAUCUGCCUGCCAAUGCAGGGGACGCGGGUUCGAGCCCUGGUCCGGGAAGAUCCCACAUGCCGUGGAGCAACUAAACUCGUGUGCCACAACUACUGAGCCUGCGCUCUAGAACCCGCGAGCCACAGCUACUGAAGCCCGCGCGCCUAGAGCCUGUGCUCCGCAACAAAAGAAGCCACUGCAAUGAGAAGCCCGCGCACCGCAACGAAGAGUGGCCCCCGCUCACCGCAGCUAGAGAAAGCUCGUGCGCAGCAACGAAGACCCAACG